GGAAUCAUGACCUGAGUGGAAGGCAGAUGCUCAACUGACUGAACCACCCAGACUAGGCCAAAGCAAGCCAGUUGGCAUAAAACCAAAUGGAAUAUAAAACAAUAACAACAACAACAACAACAACAACAAGUGGAAUGGAAUGUUCAGAGGUGGAAAUUUUGCCACCAGAUGUGCAAUAUCACCAGUGUCUUACUCCCUCACUCUGUUCCAGCUAUACUGACUACUUUGCUUUGACCAUGAGAGAUCACAAGCAGGCAGAAAGGCAGGCAGAGAAAGAGGAGGAAGCAGGCUCCCC